GUGGGGAAUAUUGGACAAUGGGGGGAACCCUGAUCCAGCCAUGCCGCGUGUGUGAAGAAGGCCUUAUGGUUGUAAAGCACUUUAAGCGAGGAGGAGGCUACUUUAGUUAAUACCUAGAGAUAGUGGACGUUACUCGCAGAAUAAGCACCGGCUAACUCUGUGCCAGCAGCCGCGGUAAUACAGAGGGUGCGAGCGUUAAUCGGAUUUACUGGGCGUAAAGCGUGCGUAGGCGGCUUAUUAAGUCGGAUGUGAAAUCCCCGAGCUUAACUUGGGAAUUGCAUUCGAUACUGGUGAGCUAGAGUAUGGGAGAGGAUGGUAGAAUUCCAGGUGUAGCGGUGAAAUGCGUAGAGAUCUGGAGGAAUACCGAUGGCGAAGGCAGCCAUCUGGCCUAAUACUGACGCUGAGGUACGAAAGCAUGGGGAGCAA
rnacentral:rRNA from 1 species